GUUGUGGCUUAGUUGGUUGAAGCGCCGGAUUAGGAAUACGGCGUCGUGGGUUCGUUUCCCAUUAGAAACA
rnacentral:tRNA from 1 species